UACGGGGGGGGCAAGCGUUGUUCGGAAUUACUGGGCGUAAAGGGCUCGUAGGUGGCCAACUAAGUCAGACGUGAAAUCCCUCGGCUUAACCGGGGAACUGCGUCUGAUACUGGAUGGCUUGAGAUUGGGAGAGGGAUGCGGAAUUCCAGGUGUAGCGGUGAAAUGCGCAGAUAUCAGGAGGAACACCAAUGGCGAAGGCAGCUCGCUGGGACGUGACUGACGCUGAGACGCGAAAGCGUGGGGAGCAAACAGG
rnacentral:rRNA from 1 species